CAGUCGCCACGGUAAUACAGAGGAUGCAAGCGUUACCCGGAAUGAUUGGGCGUAAAGCGUCUGUAGGUGGCUUUUCAAGUCCGCCGUCAAAUCCCAGGGCUCAACCCUGGACAGGCGGUGGAAACUACCAAGCUGGAGUACGGUAGGGGCAGAGGGAAUUUCCGGUGGAGCGGUGAAAUGCGUCGAGAUCGGAAAGAACACUAACAGCGAAAGCACUCUGCUGGGACGACACUGACACUAAGAGACGAAAGCUAGGGGAGCAAAUGGGAUUAGAGACCCCAGUAGUCCCUGUCUCUUAUAA
rnacentral:rRNA from 1 species